GGAAAACAUGGGUUCUUCAAGGAAUUCCCUAUGAAAUCAUCUUAAAAACAUUAAUCAAACAUUAAUUCAUCAAUAUAAUGGCUUAGAAAACAUUUUGCCAAUGAACCCAUGCUUAGAUUAGAAUUUGAGAUUUUGUUCUUUGAAACACUUUUGAUUGGAUUCCUUGAAAGAAAGAUUGAUCAAGGAUCAAGGGUCACCAUACCUCUAAGUUGAAACCCACGAAAAAUUGAAGAAGAAAGCACUCAAAACCUUCAACCCUAGCUCCAACUUCACCUUGGCCUUCAAUGGUGUUCCAAAGAGAACCCUUCCUUACUCUUUUAAAAUGGAAUAAAAUGAUCCACAAUCAGCCUAGCACAAUAAUAUAACCUCAAAAGAAAAGAUUUGUGAAAAGACCAAAAUGCCCUUAAAUUUCCGGACGGAAUCCUUGCCAACUGCCCAACUUUCAAAGGGCAUAACUCGCUCAUACGAACUCGGAAUCGAGAAAACUUGGUGGCGUUGGAAAGAUCGUUCCAAGGGCUUUCCAAACAUAACUGGAACUACUCCUGGAUCAUCCUGAGCUAGGAGUUAUGACUGCUCAAAGUUGGCCAAAAACUCACUGAUUUCCCAC
rnacentral:lncRNA from 1 species